GUUCGGAAUUACUGGGCGUAAAGCGCGUGUAGGCGGCUUGGCAGGUCGGAUGUGAAAUCCCAGGGCUCAACCCUGGAAGUGCAUUCGAAACCGUUUCGCUAGAGUUCUGGAGAGGAAGGUGGAAUGCUUGGUGUAGAGGUGAAAUUCGUAGAUAUCAAGCGGAACACCGGUGGCGAAGGCGGCCUUCUGGACAGAAACUGACGCUGAGACGCGAAAGCGUGGGGAGCAAACAGG
rnacentral:rRNA from 1 species